UACAUCAAUGAACCUAAUCUCCCAGUACAAAAGCUGGAAUAUCACCAUAAGACGAGAAGACCCUGUGGAGCUUAAAAUCCCCUGGCAACCCGCCCAUCCCAGACAUUUUUAGUUGGGGCGACUACGGAACAAAACAAAAACUUCCACGCUACGAGCCACACACCCCACAAAGGCCCCACGCCACUGUGUCCCCCGACCCGACCCAGUCAUACUGAUCAACGAACCAAGUUACCCCAGGGAUAACAGCGCCAUCCUCUUCAAGAGCCCCUAUCGCCAAGAGGGUUUACAACCUCGAUGUUGGAUCAGGACCCCCAAGUGGUGUAGCCGCUACAAAUGGUUCGUUUGUUCAACGAUUAAUGUCCUACGU
rnacentral:rRNA from 1 species